rnacentral:tRNA from 1 species
GCGAAAGUGGCGGAAUUGGCAGACGCGCUAGAUUCAGGUUCUAGUAGCCGCAAGGCUGUGGGGGUUCAAGUCCCCCCUUUCGCA